UGUAAAUAGCUUGUUUAAAGUUUGGGGAAUAUAGAAGGGAGUUAAGAAAAAUAAUUUUAUAAUUUUAGUAAUUUUUAAUGAAAAUUAAGUAAAGACUAGAGAGAAAAGUACUGUGAAGGAAAGUUGUUGAAAUUUUAUAUAGAAAAAGUAAAAUUUUGUGCCUCGUGUAUCAGAAAAAAUUUAUAUAAUUUAGUUAAUGGUAAGUAUCUCGAAAUAAAAUAUAGUAAUUUUUAUAAAAUUUUCUUUUUAGAAAAAAAGAAUUUAAUAUAAAAUUUAAAGUGAAAUGCUAGCUGAGUUUUAUGAUAUCUAGUUUUUUAAAAAAUAAAUUUAAUUUAAUUUUUACGAAGAAAGAAUUGUAAAAUUAAAUGGUAGGGGGGAUUAGCUCUUUACGGAAAAGUCAAUGAAAUAGGUAGAUAUAAAGAAAUUAUAUAAAUUAGGCUUAGAAGUAGCUAUAUUGAAAAAGUGUUUUAACUAAAUUAUAAUUACUUGAAUAUUUAAGAUAACUUUUGUUAGGUAUUAAAAAAACGGUUUAAACAAAAUAAAACGAAAUAUAAUGAUUUUAUUAGUAAAAUUUAUUAAGUAAAUAAAAAU
rnacentral:rRNA from 1 species